rnacentral:rRNA from 1 species
AGUGAACGCUGGCGGCGUGCUUAACACAUGCAAGUCGAGCGAGAUUUGACAGCUUAUCGUCAAGUCUAGCGGCAGACGGGUGAGUAAUACUUGGGCAAUCUGCCCUUGAGUGGGGGACAACCUGCCGAAAGGCGGGCUAAUACUCCAUAAGACCACGGGAAUGCAUAUUCCAGAGGUCAAAGCUCCGCAAGGGGCGCUUAAGGAGGAGCCCGAGUCCUANCAUGGUAGUUGGCGGGGUAAUGGCCCCACCAAGCCGU